UACGUAGGUGGCGAGCGUUGUCCGGAUUUAUUGGGUUUAAAGGGUGCGUAGGCGGCCUUGUAAGUCAGUGGUGAAAUACUCCAGCUUAACUGGAGGGGUGCCAAUGAUACUGCAGGGCUUGAGUACAGAUGAGGUAGGCGGAAUUGACGGUGUAGCGGUGAAAUGCAUAGAUAUCGUCAAGAACACCGAUAGCGAAGGCAGCUUACUGGGCUGUAACCGACGCUGAGGCACGAAAGUGUGGGGAUCAAACAGG
rnacentral:rRNA from 1 species